rnacentral:rRNA from 1 species
UACGUAGGGUCCGAGCGUUGUCCGGAAUUACUGGGCGUAAAGGGCCAGUAGGCGGCCAACUAAGUCCGACGUGAAAUCCCAAGGCUUAACCUUGGAACUGCGUCGGAUACUGGAUGGCUUGAAUUCGGGAGAGGGAUGCAGAAUUCCAGGUGUAGCGGUGAAAUGCGUAGAUAUCUGGAGGAAUACCGGUGGCGAAGGCAGGUCUCUGGGCCGCAACUGACGCUGAGGAGCGACAGCGUGGGGAGCAAACAGG